GUGGGGAAUAUUGGACAAUGGACCAAAAGUCUGAUCCAGCAAUUCUGUGUGCACGAUGACGGUCUUAGGAUUGUAAAGUGCUUUCAAUCGGGAAAAAGAAAGUGAUGGUACCGAUAGAAGAAGCGACGGCUAAAUACGUGCCAGCAGCCGCGGUAAUACGUAUGUCGCAAGCGUUAUCCGGAUUUAUUGGGCGUAAAGCGCGUCUAGGCGGUCUGGUAAGUCUGAUGUGGAAAUGCGGGGCUCAACUCCGUAUUGCGUUGGAAACUGCCAGACUAGAGUACUGGAGAGGUGGGCGGAACUACAAGUGUAGAGGUGAAAUUCGUAGAUAUUUGUAGGAAUGCCGAUAGAGAAGUCAGCUCACUGGACAGAUACUGACGCUGAAGCGCGAAAGCAUGGGGAGCAAACAGGA
rnacentral:rRNA from 1 species